rnacentral:pre_miRNA from 1 species
AGUAGCACUAUCCGCUGCAAGCACAGGGACAACGGAGUGUCUAGGCUCGCAAAGUGGGCGGAGCAACGAAGCAGUGUGCUUCGUUGAGUUGGGCUUGCUCGCACUCCGUUGUCCCUGUGCUUCCGAGGAGAUGCUGCU